rnacentral:misc_RNA from 1 species
CACAUAGGCAUAUGCCUUUGUGCUUAAUUUACUGUAUAAAAAGAAGGGUACACAUCCUUGAAAUUAAAUGAUUCUACGCCCACCAACCUUAGUCUAUUCAUAAUACACUAGCUAGAUCUGCAUUUCAUUUCACACCUUACAACCAUGGAAGCUCUCCUCUCCCAAUUUACCUUUCUCUCAGAUCAAGCCUUGCAGGACAAGAACUUUGAUCCCUCAACGAUAGAGGAUCUAAUGAAGCUUUUUGAGAUAGAAGCUUACAAGUCAUGGGCAGCAAUGGAACUUGAGCAAGAAAAUGAAGUGAAAGAAGCACAAGUAGCUAUGCGAGAUGCUGAGAACUAUCUUGAUUCUGUGAUGGAAGAAGCUAUGGAUGAAUUUCGUCGAUUCGAAGAGGAAAUGGAAAGGAUGGCAAAGGAAGAACUUGAAAGCUUAGAAAAGAGUGCUGAGACUGAAAGAAAGAUGGGAAAAUUAAUGGAAAAAGCUGCAACUAUUGCUUCUAAGAGGU